UACGUAGGGGGCUAGCGUUGUCCGGAAUCAUUGGGCGUAACGCGCGCGUAGGCGGCCCGGUAAGUCCGUUGUGAAAGUCAAAGGCUCAACCUUUGAACGCCGAUGGAUACUGCCGGGCUAGAGUCCGGAAGAGGCGAGUGGAAUUCCUGGUGUAGCGGUGGAAUGCGCAGAUAUCAGGAGGAACACCAAUAGCGAAGGCAGCUCGCUGGGACGGUACUGACGCUGAGGCGCGAAAGCGUGGGGAGCGAACAGG
rnacentral:rRNA from 1 species